GGCGACCGCUGUGGGAGUCCGAUAAGCCAUGCGAGUCGAGAGAAUAAGAUUCUCGGCAUACCGCUCAGUAACACGUGGAUAACUGCCCUGUGCUGGGGGAUAACCUCGCGAAAGUGAGAACAAUACCCCAUGGGUCACUAUGCCUGGAACGGUUAGUGGCUGAAAGCUCCGGCGGCACAGGAUGGGUCUGCGGCGUAUCAGGUCGUAGGGGGUGUAACGUACCUCCUAGCCUUCGACGCGUACGGGUUGUGAGAGCAAUUGCCCGGAGAUGGAUUCUGAGACACGAAUCCAGGCCCUACGGGGCGCAGCAGGCGCGAAAACUUGACAAUGCGAGAAAUCGUGAUCAGGGGACUCCAGUUGGCUGGAUCAAAAGUCCAGUCUGAACCGACUUUAAAUCGGUCGGGUAAUAGGGGCGGGAAAGACCGGUGCCAGCCGCCGCGGUAAUACCGGCGCCCCAAGUGGUCGUCACUAUUAUUGGGCCUAAAACGUCCGUAGCCGGUUUGGUAAAUCCGUGGGUAAAUCAGACAGCCCAACUGUCUGAAUUCUGCGGGGACUGCCAGACUUGAGACCGGGAGAGGUGCGGGGUACUUGCGGGGUACCGGUAAAAUGGGAUCAUCCCGUAGAGACCACCUGUUGCGAAGGCGCCGCACUAGAACGGAUCUGACGGUCAGGGACGAAGCCUAGGGGCACGAACCGGAUUAGAUACUCGGGUAGUCCUAGGUGUAAACGCUGUGGACUUGGUGUCGGGGACUCCACGAGUGUCCCCGGUGCCGGAGUGAAGAUGUUAAGUCCACUGCCUGGGGAGUACGUC
rnacentral:rRNA from 1 species